GACGAACGCUGGCGGCGUGCCUAAUACAUGCAAGUAGAACGCUGAAGGAGGAGCUUGCUUCUCUGGAUGAGUUGCGAACGGGUGAGUAACGCGUAGGUAACCUGCCUGGUAGCGGGGGAUAACUAUUGGAAACGAUAGCUAAUACCGCAUAAGAGUAGAUGUUGCAUGACAUUUGCUUAAAAGGUGCAAUUGCAUCACUACCAGAUGGACCUGCGUUGUAUUAGCUAGUUGGUGGGGUAACGGCUCACCAAGGCGACGAUACAUAGCCGACCUGAGAGGGUGAUCGGCCACACUGGGACUGAGACACGGCCCAGACUCCUACGGGAGGCAGCAGUAGGGAAUCUUCGGCAAUGGACGGAAGUCUGACCGAGCAACGCCGCGUGAGUGAAGAAGGUUUUCGGAUCGUAAAGCUCUGCUGUAAGAGAAGAACGAGUGUGAGAGUGGAAAGUUCACACUGUGACG
rnacentral:rRNA from 1 species